rnacentral:rRNA from 1 species
UACGUAGGGUGCGAGCGUUAAUCGGAAUUACUGGGCGUAAAGCGUGCGCAGGCGGUGAUGUAAGACAGUUGUGAAAUCCCCGGGCUCAACCUGGGAACUGCAUCUGUGACUGCAUCGCUGGAGUGCGGCAGAGGGGGAUGGAAUUCCGCGUGUAGCAGUGAAAUGCGUAGAUAUGCGGAGGAACACCGAUGGCGAAGGCAAUCCCCCGGGCCUGCACUGACGCUCAUGCACGAAAGCGUGGGGAGCAAACAGG